GAUGAACGCUGACAGAAUGCUUAACACAUGCAAGUCUUUGGCGAAGCUGUGCUUGCACAGCCUAGCCAAGGCGGACGGGUGAGUAACGCGUAAGGAACUUGCCCUGCAGUCAGGGAUAACAGACGGAAACGACUGAUAAGACCUGGUAAAGUCAGGCGGACUCAUGUCCAGCCUGAUGAAAAGAGAUGCUGCAGGAGAGCCUUGCGUCCUAUUAGCUUGUUGGUGGGGUAACGGCCCACCAAGGCGAUGAUAGGUAGCCGGCCUGAGAGGGUGGACGGCCACAAGGGGACUGAGAUACGGCCCUUACUCCUACGGGAGGCAGCAGUGGGGAAUAUUGGACAAUGGGGGCAACCCUGAUCCAGCAAUUCUGUGUGCACGAUGAAGGUUUUCGGACUGUAAAGUGCUUUCAGCAGGGAAGAAAAAAUGACGGUACCUGCAGAAGAAGCGACGGCUAAAUACGUG
rnacentral:rRNA from 1 species